ACUUAGAAUUCCAUAAAAGCUUAAUGUACUUACGGUAGCAGUAAAGAAAAUGCCCCCAAAGGGAGUCGCACAAUUAGGAGGUGUGGCCUUCUUGGAGUAGGUUUGAUCUUGUUGGAGGAAGUGUGUUGCUAUGGAGGUGGGCUUUGAGAUCUCAUUUAUGCUCAGGUCACACCCACUGAGAAAGAUCACUAGUCAAGAUGUAAGAACUCUCAGCUCUUUCUCUAACACCAUGCCUGCCUGCAUGCUGCCAUGCUUCCUACCAUGAUGAUAAUGGACUAAACUUCUGAACUAGCCUUAAUCCAGUAGCUGAUGGAAGCAUAGGCAGACACCUACAGCUAAACACUAAACUAAAUUCCUGGAAUCCAGUUGCAAAGAGGGAGUAGUGAAG
rnacentral:lncRNA from 1 species